CCCUCUGGGUUGUAAACUUCUUUUAUCUGGGACGAAAAAGGGACUUUCUAGUUCAACUGACGGUACCAGAGGAAUAAGCACCGGCUAACUCCGUGCCAGCAGCCGCGGUAAUACGGAGGGUGCAAGCGUUAUCCGGAUUCACUGGGUUUAAAGGGUGCGUAGGUGGGCAGGUAAGUCAGUGGUGAAAUCUUUGGGCUUAACCCGAAAACUGCCAUUGAUACUAUUUGUCUUGAAUAUUGUGGAGGUCAGCGGAAUAUGUCAUGUAGCGGUGAAAUGCUUAGAUAUGACAUAGAACACCAAUUGCGAAGGCAGCUGGCUACACAUAUAUUGACACUGAUGCACGAAAGCGUGGGGAUCAAACAGGAUUAGAUACCCUGGUAGUCCACGCCCUAAACGAUGGAUACUCGACAUACGCGAUANACUGUGUGUGUCUGAGCGAAAGCAUUAAGUAUCCCACCUGGGAAGUACGAUCGCAAGAUUGAAACUCAAAGG
rnacentral:rRNA from 1 species